rnacentral:tRNA from 1 species
GCCAAUGUAGCUCAGUUGGUAGAGCAGGCGCAUCGUAAGCGUCAGGUCCCCAGUUCAAGCCUGGGCAUUGGCU